GAACCUGCGGAGGGAUCAUUACCGAGUUUACAACUCCCAAACCCCUGUGAACAUACCUUAAUGUUGCCUCGGCGGAUCAGCCCGCGCCCCGUAAAACGGGACGGCCCGCCAGAGGACCCAAACUUUAAUGUUUCUUAUUGUAACUUCUGAGUAAAACAAACAAAUAAAUCAAAACUUUCAACAACGGAUCUCUUGGUUCUGGCAUCGAUGAAGAACGCAGCAAAAUGCGAUAAGUAAUGUGAAUUGCAGAAUUCAGUGAAUCAUCGAAUCUUUGAACGCACAUUGCGCCCGCUGGUAUUCCGGCGGGCAUGCCUGUUCGAGCGUCAUUUCAACCCUCAAGCCCCCGGGUUUGGUGUUGGGGAUCGGCUCUGCCUUCUGGCGGUGCCGCCCCCGAAAUACAUUGGCGGUCUCGCKGCAGCCUCCAUUGCGUAGUAGCUAACACCUCGCAACUGGAACGCGGCGCGGCCAUGCCGUAAAACCCCAACUUCUGAAUGUUGACCU
rnacentral:rRNA from 1 species